rnacentral:rRNA from 1 species
GACGCUGGCGGCGGCUAACACAUGCAAGUCGAACGCCCCGCAAGGGGAGUGGCAGACGGGUGAGUAACGCGUGGGAACAUACCCUUUCCUGCGGAAUAGCUCCGGGAAACUGGAAUUAAUACCGCAUACGCCCUACGGGGGAAAGAUUUAUCGGGGAAGGAUUGGCCCGCGUUGGAUUAGCUAGUUGGUGGGGUAAAGGCCUACCAAGGCGACGAUCCAUAGCUGGUCUGAGAGGAUGAUCAGCCACAUUGGGACUGAGACACGGCCCAAACUCCUACGGGAGGCAGCAGUGGGGAAUAUUGGACAAUGGGCGCAAGCCUGAUCCAGCCAUGCCGCGUGACUGAUGAAGGCCUUAGGGUUGUAAAGCUCUUUCACCGAUGAAGAUAAUGACGGUAGUCGGAGAAGAAGCCCCGGCUAACUUCGUGCCAGCAGCCGCGGUAAUACGAAGGGGGCUAGCGUUGUUCGGAAUUACUGGGCGUAAAGCGCACGUAGGCGGAUAUUUAAGUCAGGGGUGAAAUCCCGCAGCUCAACUGCGGAACUGCCUUUGAUACUGGGUAUCUUGAGUAUGAAGAAGUAAGUGGAAUUCCGAGUGUAUAGGUGAAAUUUCGUAGAUAUUCGGAGGAACACCACUGGCGAAAGCGGCUUACUGGUCCAUUACUUGACCCUGAGGUGCGAAAGCGUGGGAGCAAACAGGAUUAGAUUCCCUGGUAGACCCCGCCGAAAACCAAUAAUGUUAGCCGUCCGCAAUAUACUUUUUCGGUGGCGCACCUACCCAUUAACAUUCCCCUGGGGAGACCGGGGGAGAUUAAUCUAAAGAAUUGCGGGGCCCCCCAACCGGGGACCUUUGUUAAUCAAAAACCCCAAACUACAACUUUUAAUUCGGUUGGCUUUGAAAAUUCCUAUUAGUUGCCCAAAGGGUUAGGUUUUAUACUUUAAAUUGUUAUUCAACACCAACCUCUUAUCCUUAUUGCCUAAG